rnacentral:misc_RNA from 1 species
GUUUUAAAUUCCAUAUUCCGAUAAUAAACAUGCAUUACUUUAAAUAUAAGAGUUUGUGGAUUUCAAAGGCAGGCUUUAACCCGCCUUCAAAGUAGUUAAAUGCACAGGUGUAAACUGGAUUAAGAGAGUGAGCACAUGCAGUCAGACUGCCAGCAUCAACUCUCUAAUUCGUUAAUGAUCCUUCCGCAGGUUCACCUACGGAAA